rnacentral:lncRNA from 1 species
CUGCUUCCCAAGUGUCAAAAUACUCUGUUACUGUUGCUGAAUUUGUCGAACCAGGACAUGCAGGCACGUGUCGACCUUCAGGUUCUUGCAAGAAACUCCUCAAUUCUAACUGGUUCACUUGGCUUAGACCUUGUCCUUGUGAAAUUCUUUUCAACUCCAACCCAUUAUCUUGAGCUAGUUGAUUUUGUUGCCUAUUCCCACAGAUUGAUGACAAACUUGGUUUUGCUGGAGUUGUUGGUAACCAUGAAUUGGCAAUCUGAAAAUCUUCUGUUUGUGGAAUUGAGCUUCCUUGUCUUCCGUCCAUGCCGCAGCGUCAGACUGGUAAAAAUCCAAAUUUUCUGCCUUUAUUUUCCUUUAUUUGGAUAAAAUGGUAGACAGUUUUUUUGCAGGGAUAACCUCAAAGUAGUCUCUCAUAGAAAGGAGAAAAAUAAAGAAAAAAAAGGCAGGACUUAUACAAGGUGUAAUAAUAACUGCUUCAGUCGGGGAACUGUUUUAUGAAAUCAUCUUGCAAAACAAAACCGUAAAAGACACAGAAAUCAAAAAUGAAUUUGUAGGAAGAGAAACAGAAUAUCUGAAACUUUCCAAAAACAUAAUUUUUAAGAAACCCUUAAUUGAACCGAAUAAAUUUUUUCAGCUCAGAUCUCAAAAAGACGAGCCUGUAUAUCUACUUAUCCUGCCAUGAUGGAGGCAGUGAAUGGAGGAUAAAAACAGAAUGUAAAUUCUGUAACUCACCAGAAAUUUCAUUUUCAUUAAUUUAAGAUAUAAAUGAAAAAUUAGGUGUAAUCAGUGAAAGAUUGUAGCAAUCUGACUGAAAAAACAAAAUUUGCAUAAAAUCUUUGAUCAUUUUACCAAGAAAUGCUGCUUAUUUCUGCAACUUUCUUAAGCAUCUAAAAAUUAGAGAAAAUUCACAUAUAAUUGGAUAUAAGUUGUUAAAAUUUGGGAGCUUAGUAAAUUUUUACUGACCUGAAGGGAUGAAGGUACUGCCGGAGAUCUCACAGAGGCAGUGGACGGCAAGGAGAAACUGAAACAGAGUAUUCCAUAAAGGGGAGAGAGAAAGUAGGAAAGAAG